AGUGAACGCUGGCGGCGUGCUUAACACAUGCAAGUCGAGCGAGGUUACUGUCCCCGCAAGGGGACGUGUGCCUAGCGGCAGACGGGUGAGUAACACGUAGAUAACUUACCUCAUAGCGGGGGAUAGCCCGCCGAAAGGCGGGGUAAUACCGCGUAACGUUUCUUUCCGGCAUCGGAGAGAAAUCAAACGUCCGCAAGGACGGCUAAGAGAGAGAUCUGCGGCCUAUCAGCUAGUUGGUGAGGUAACGGCUCACCAAGGCUACGACGGGUAUCCGACCUGAAAGGGUGACCGGACACACUGACACUGAGACACGGGUCAGACUCCUACGGGAGGCAGCAGUGAGGAAUCUUGGACAAUGGGGGAAACCCUGAUCCAGCGACGCCGCGUGAAGGAUGAAGGUCUUCGGAUUGUAAACUUCUUUUAUCUGGGAAUAAGAAACUCGUGGAAACACGGGGAGUGAAGGUACCAGAUGAAUAAGCCACGGCUAACUUCGUGCCAGCAGCCGCGGUAAUACGAA
rnacentral:rRNA from 1 species